UACGUAGGGGGCAAGCGUUGUCCGGAAUCAUUGGGCGUAAAGCGCGCGCAGGCGGUUCUUUAAGUCUGAUGUGAAAGCCCACGGCUCAACCGUGGAGGGUCAUUGGAAACUGGGGAACUUGAGUACAGAAGAGGAAAGCGGAAUUCCACGUGUAGCGGUGAAAUGCGUAGAGAUGUGGAGGAACACCAGUGGCGAAGGCGGCUUUCUGGUCUGUAACUGACGCUGAGGCGCGAAAGCGUGGGGAGCAAACAGG
rnacentral:rRNA from 1 species